GAAAGUGAAGCUCAAAAGAAUGUUAACAAUGACAAUGUUAAGAACGGCGGAGGAGCUUUCUACACCAAGAAAAAGGUAAAGAAAUAUUGUCAAAAGUAUAAAAAGAAGGGUCAUACAACGAAAACGUAGUGGAGCGAAAAGAAAGAUAAAGUAAAAAAAUCUAAUAAAGUAGAAAAGAAUUACAGCAUAACGCCCAUAUAUAAGUCCAUGUCCAUAACUUCGGCGAACAUAUGGUGUUUGGACAGUGGCUGCACAUCGCAAAAAGACACUUUGAAGAGAUACAGCCAGAGUCAGGUACACUCAAACUAUCAUCUGAAUCACAACCAAAAUCGAAGGCAAAGGCAAAGUAUGUUUCGAACUACACGACUAUAUAAUUAAUUUACAUGACACACUAUACGUGCCAAAGCUAUCGACGAAUCUCCUAUCAGUAGGAAAACUUACACAAAAUGGCUGCACUGUCAGUUUUGUUUACAAUAUGGCCUAUAUUAAAAAUAAAAAGAAUGAAACAACUUUGACUGCAAAAAAAGAAAAUGGCUUAAAUUAUGUACAUUUAAAAAAUUCAAGUAUUGCAAGCGCUGUGUCUGAUAACAAUAUGAUGUUAUGACACCAAAAACUUGGCCACUUAAAUGAAAAAGAUAUGAAACUAAUUGAUAAAAAUGAACUGAUCAGAGGCGUUAACCUGGGAAAAUUCGGAAAAAUGCCCACUUGCGCAACCUGUAUAGAAGGUAAGAAAACUCAGUUGCCAUACACAUCCACAGAAGGACCACAAUCGAGUGAACGACUGGAAAUAAUGCAUAUUGAUGUGUGCGGACCAAUGAGGACGGAAACUAUUGCAGGAUCCAAAUAUUUCGUGACUUCUGUCGAUGAUUUGUCAAAAUAUUGGUGCGUGUACUUCCUUAGACACAAAGAUGAAGUUUUAGAAAAAUUCAAAGAAUUCAAAAAUAGGGUAGAAAAUUCUUUCAAUAAAAAAGUUCGAGUACUCCAAUCAGACAAUGGCAGAGAAUACGGCAACAAAGAAUUUGACCGUUACCUAAAAGAAAGCGGCAUACACCUAAGAUUAUCUGCUCCCUACACGCAACAUGGCCAGAGCGAGAGAAAUAAUCGUACGCUCAUGGAUAAAGCACCGUGCUUAAUGAUAGAAGCAAACAUACCUGAACUGAAGCACUGAGCUGAAGCAAUAAGUACACUGAACAGAAGAACACUGUUGUGACUAGCAGAGACGUAAAAAUUAUUGACAAAAUGUAUUACGAUAAUGAAGAUCAAAGCUAUGAUGACAUUUUCUAUGAAAGGGAACCACUGCAACCUGAAAAAGAAAAGAAAGUUAUUAAAAAUACUCAGAAAAAUAAUCGAAAAUCUAAUAAACAUGUAGAUAUCGAAAUGAAACCAUCUACGUAAAAUAAAAAUAAAAAGAUACAACCUCCUACCAUACUUAUCCAACCUGAAGAAAAUCCUGCAACUACUUCUCAGAGUAAUGGAAACGAAGUUGAAAGGGAAUAGGAAAGAAAUAUAGACCAGCAUAGGAGGAGUUUACAAGGUAACACUAGAUCUCAAAGACAAAGAAUAGUACCAAAUUAUUUAAAAGAUUACGACCUUGAUUCGCAAUCUGAUACUUCCGAUGAUUUUCAAGAACCAGUAAAUCAAAUAACAAAUGAAGACCAUACCUUGCUGUGUGAAUCCGCAAAUCCAAGCGUCACUGACGAGGAAUGGCGAGAAGCUAUUAAAAAGGAGAUUAAAGCACAUAUUAAGAAUGGUGCUUGGGUUAUUAAAAAGAAAGGAAAUGAGGAAAACAUCAUAGAUUUUAAGAUGUUAUUAAAAACACAAGGGAGAUAUGAAAAAAGCUCGCCUUGUUGCACGAGGAUUCACUCAAAGACCUGGAAUAGAUUACAAUGAAACCUGGACUCCAGUUGCAAAGCUAAGUUCAAUAAAAUUGCUUUUCGCUACAGCUGUAAAUGAAGACUUGAAACUGCACCAGUUAGACGUCACAACAGCUUACUUAAACGGAGAUCUGGAAGAAAAAAUAGUAAUGAUAAAACCAGAGUAUUUAGAAGAGUAUAUUGCCGAUAUUAUGAUUGAAGAAAUAGCUAACGAAGAUAUUUGUAAUAAAGCCAAGAAAAUACUUGAGGAUUUAACUAAGGACAAAAGUUAGAAAGUCUGCGAGUUAAAGAAAGCAUUGUAUGGAUUAAAGCAAUCUGGCCGCAAUGGUUUAACGCUACACGCUGAAUUGAUAUAUUUUGGUUUCAGUCCUUUUCAAGCUCAUCCUUGUUUAUGUACGCUAGGAAGAGGACGAGAGAAGAUUAUCCUUGGCUUAUAUGUCGAUGACAUUCGGUUAGCGUAUUCUUGCAAAGAUAUCCUAGGCGAAACAAUUAAAUAUCUCACAUCAAAAUUCGAAAUGAAAGACCUAGGAGAAGCAAAAAAAUAUGUCGGGAUAGAAAUAGAACAGAAUGAGGGACAGAUAAAAUUAAAACAAGAAAAAUAUAUUAACAAGUUGCUCGUAAGAUUUGGUAUGGAAGAAUGUAAAACGGUGAGAACGCUGAUUGAGCCAUAUCUUAAGCUACAGAAAGAAGAAAACUGUAACACAAACUUAUAUCAAAAUCUGAUCGGAGCACUCAUGUUCUUAGUAGUUGCUACACGCUCAGAUAUAAGUUAUGCAGUGAGUUAUCUAUCGCAAUUUAAUAACUGCUAUGAAGAAGAACAUUUCAAAUAUGGAAAGCGUCUACUACGUUACCUCAAAGGUACAAAAGAAACUGGAUUGUUGUUUAAGAAAAAUAAUAAACCAAUAAUAAACUAAUGAAGUUUUCUUAUUACUUUUCAAGUUUUAGAUGGCAUAUAAAUACAAGAAAAAAUAUCAACCAAGCCCAUUGGAGUGAGAACAGUAUGAUGCUUGCGAUAACAGAUUGCUUCUAUAGCUUCGAUAGCAGAUUCUGUCAUUCCUGUGAAAACGACCGCAAAAAAGUAUGGUCUAUCUUAAGCCGCUCUUUAUAGGAAUUAGAAAAAAGGUAGUUGGACUGCUCAGCUUGGUCGUCUUCGUAAAGUUUUAAACGAUGAACAAGAAGAAGACUUUCCAACGUAUUUGUAUGAUAUGGAUAGUGUUUUUUAUGGGUUAACCCAAAAAGAAUUAAAAAAUAUUAGUUUUUGAAUACGCAAAACGCAAUAAUGUCACUUGUCCGCCUAGUUGGGACAAAAAUAAAUAAGCUGGUGAUGAUUGGUUAGCAGAACUUAUGAGAAGAAAUCCACAAAUACACUAAGAAUUCCAGAAGCAACUACAAUUGGCAGAGUUAAAAGCUUCAAUUGUCCUCAAGUAGAAAGGUUGUAUAAGCCGUGAAGUGACCAAAUUAUCAGAAUCUAUAAUAUAGAUGAAACUGUCACUCGGACCUCGACAAAUAAACCACCCAUAGUUCUUUCAGUUAAAGGUAAGAAGCAAGUUGUAGUCAUUUCCAGCACUGAACCUGGACAAACUACAGUCGUGAGUUGCUGCAUCGCUUCUGGAUUAUUCGUUCCGAUGCCACACGUUCCUGUGGGUACACGUAAAAGAAAGAUUCAAAAGUCUAAGGUGUUAACUCGUACGCUAGUGAAGGGAGAACAAAAAGAAAAAUUUAAAAGGAAUGAAAAAUAUGAAUAAAGAUUUAAAUGCUAAACCAAAUACUGCGACAAAGAAAAAUACUAAAAUGCCGAUAAAUAUAAUUGUUAAAGAUAAAAGUAAGGAUAGUGGUAAGGAAACCGGGGAAGAACUGUGUGUAUUCUAUUAUUCCGAGGAGAACUGUAUACAAAUAAAUGACAAAACAGUUGGUGAUUGGAUCCAAUGUGAUAGAUGUAAGCAAAGGAGUCACGAUAAAUGCACGGCUUAUGAAGAAUAGGCUUAUUUCUUUGUGAUAUCUGCACUGAUUAGUUUAAAGCUAUGCUAAGUAUUUGUGCACUUUGCCCUAUCGUCCUAUCCACUUUACCUGACCUAUGGGGCAAAGUGGAUACUGGCAUAUUUUGCAACAUUAUUGACAAUUAAAAUUAAAGGACUGCUAUUAAGCAUUUUUUGUUGAUUAUAUUAAAGACUUUAAUAAAUGUUGAUUCUCAUUGAA